UCCCUAGUGGUUCAGACGGUAAAGCAUCUGUCUGCAACACAGGAGACCCAGGUUCGAUCCCUGGGUUGGGAA
rnacentral:tRNA from 1 species